rnacentral:rRNA from 1 species
GAGUUUGAUCCUGGCUCAGAACGAACGCUGGCGGCCACAUGCCUAAAUGCAAGUCGAACGAGACCUUCGGGUCUAGUGGCGCACGGGUGCGUAACGCGUUGGAAUCUGCUUUGCCCUUCGGAAUAACACAGAGAAAUUUGUGCUAAUAGCCGAUAAUGUCGAACCAAGAAAGAUUUAUCGGCAAAGGAUGAGCCCGCGUAGGAUUAGCUAGUUGGUGGGGUAAUGGCCUACGGCAACGACGAUCCUUAGCUGGUCUGAGAGGAUGAUCAGCCACACUGGGACUGAGACACGGCCCAGACUCCUACGGGAGGCAGCAGUCCGGAAUUUUGGACAAUGGGGGCAACCCUGAUCCAGCCAUGCCGCGUGCGGGAAGAAGGCCCUCGGGUUGUAAACCGCGGAAAGCUGGGAAGAAAAGGCCAUCGUUAAUAGCGGUGGUUCUUGACGGUACCCCCGGAAUAAGCACCGGCUAACUACGUGCCAGCAGCCGCGGUAAUACGUAGGGUGCGAGCGUUAAUCGGAAUUACUGGGCGUAAAGCGUGCGCAGGCGGUUCGUUGUGUUUGCGGUGAAAGGG